CCAGACUCCUACGGGAGGCAGCAGUGGGGAAUAUUGCACAAUGGGGGAAACCCUGAUGCAGCAACGCCGCGUGAGUGAAGAAGCGUUUCGGCGCGUAAAGCUCUGUCAGCGGGGAAGAAAGAAGACGGUACCCGACCAAGAAGCCCCGGCUAACUACGUGCCAGCAGCCGCGGUAAUACGUAGGGGGCAAGCGUUAUCCGGAUUCACUGGGUGUAAAGGGAGCGUAGACGGCGACGCAAGUCUGGAGUGAAAGCCCGGGGCCCAACCCCGGGACUGCUCUGGAAACUGCCGGGCUGGAGUGUCGGAGGGGCAGGCGGAAUUCCUAGUGUAGCGGUGAAAUGCGUAGAUAUUAGGAGGAACACCGGUGGCGAAGGCGGCCUGCUGGACGACGACUGACGCUGAGGCUCGAAAGCGUGGGGAGCAAACAGGAUUAGAUACCCCUGUAC
rnacentral:rRNA from 1 species